UACGUAGGGGGCAAGCGUUUGUCCGGAUUUAUUGGGCGUAAAGAGCGUGUAGGCGGCCUGAAAGGUCAGCUGUGAAAACUCGAGGCUCAACCUCGAGACGUCGGUUGAAACCGUACGGCUAGAGUCCGGAAGAGGAGAGUGGAAUUCCCGGUGUAGCGGUGAAAUGCGCAGAUAUCAGGAGGAACACCGAUGGCGAAGGCAGUUCUCUGGGCCGUAACUGACGCUGGAGGAGCGAAAAGCGUGGGGAGCGAACAGGAUUAG
rnacentral:rRNA from 1 species